CUGCUGUUGACCCAGCGUACUAUUAACCUGAAGCCAGCACAGAAAGGUUUCCGAUUUGUAGUACUGUGUAAACCCAGACGAUGGACAAAGAGAUUCUUUGAGUCUCUACACCAGCCUGGAAGUAAUGCCAGAAAUGUGUUCGUUCUUCCAGACUUUUCUCCAUUGACGACUGCCUCUGUUUCCUCCUUUAGUAGUAUGUGGAUGAUCGGCUGACUGUGACUCUGGAAAAGUCAAGCACGUGCUUCUGGAUCAUUGAUGCUUCAGGAAGGAUGCAGGAUCCCGGUAGAUUCCCUGUGGUCCUUGUCUCAUAAAAGAGAUUUUUAUCUAGGUUUCUUCAUCCAUGUUUCCCGUAUUCAUGUUUCAAAGCUGGAAUUCGGGGGUGGGGGUGUGUGUGAGUGUGUGUCAGUCAAAAAACUUAACUUGAUGAAAUACACAUUUGCCAUAAAUCUAUAUUAUACAUUCCACAGCUUCAAAAUGACAGUGUGCGUCAAUGAGGUAAUUGUUAAGGUACCCGUUGCACUGUAAAUGUGUGUUACUGUUAGCCAUGAUGUGUGUCUUCCUCACUGUUCCCUGUAAGAAAUAGUGCUGCUAUACCUGGCAUGUGUUAUACGACGUUAAAGACAAUAUGUGCAACAGUAAUGAGUGAAGAGCAAUGUUCUCCGUUUGCAGUCGAGAAAGCCUCUAAUGGCACAGCCUACUAAUCGGAUUUAUUAUGCUCGGUGAUAGUUGUGUCUUGCCUUCAGCUGUGCCAGCCAGGUUAGUUUGAAAAACUAAAUAAAUGCAAAUUCUUGU
rnacentral:lncRNA from 1 species